CUGCCUCAGCCUCCUAAAGUGCUUGGAUCACAGAAAUGCAAGAGGCUCUCCUGAAGACUCUCAGAAUCCAGGGCAGAGUUGGGACAAGACUGCAUGUCAGUGGGAGGGAAGGCUCUGGCUUUUGCCCUCAUCCCCAUGCUGGUACCUCAGCAUCCGAGAAGAGCCCCUUGGUGCUGGACAUGAGCAGCUUCCGUUCCACGUUGUCCAGGGCGAAGGAUCCAGCACAAGGGACCCAUCAGAGUCCAGGGCACAGGUGACCCCACAGAAGAGAGCCCGCAUGGGUACACCUGCAUCCACCAGUGCUAUGCAGGCGGCAUUCAGACAACAGGCCAGGAGCUGAGCACCACGAGCAAUGUGAGCUGGUGUCUGUCAAGUGUUUGAAGGCUUUCUGGCUAGCAGAGAGGGCAUAUGUGGCCACCAGAAAAGAAGCAAGCAGGAGACUUCCUGGAGACAGCAGCCUGUGGGAAAGGAUACAGAGCCGGCAUCGCUGACAACCUGCAGCACCACGGUGAUGGAGGUGCGGGGGUGCAGUGUGCCCAGCACCGCCGCCUCGCACGUGUUCCUGAUCAGCCGCUCCCGGCUCUUCUCUGCAACGCCUGAGGAAAUUGAAGGGAGGUUGUCACAGUCUUCCCCUCCAUCUGGCUCACCUUACUCUGUAUGCUCCACCCAAACUCCCUGGAAAGGGCCCAUAGUCUCAGGCUGGGAUGGUGCAGGUACCUGCAGGGAUGAUGGAGGAUUCCAUUGGGAAGGAGGCAAGGCCUGCCUGCCAUUCACCGACCCCUCCUACCUCCGGCAUCCACCAAGGGAACUAUCCAGGGGAGGAAGACCUGAGAGUACCAUGUCUGUGAUGCUACCCACGCCCACUCCCACCCCAGCAGGCCCAGCCAGUGGGGACUGAGGGAUAUGAGGGUAAAAGGGUGAAAAGUAGGUUAAUGGGCCAGGCACAGUGGUUUACACCUGUAAUCCCAACACUUUGGGAG